AUGGUGGUGGGACUGCCACAUGCGCGCGCGCGCCGAGCCUGCUGGCCGAGGCCGUGGGCGAGGCAUGGCAUGCGUGCGAGACGAGACAUCUACUCUUCUUCAUGAAGUUACUUUUUUAUGAGGGAAAAGCGUAACUGACAGAAACUCGUUACUUCAGAAACGGACGGAGCAAUCAAUCGGAUUAAUUCCUUUCGGAAACGUCUCUCUCUAGUGCUAGUUAUCUCCCCGGAUAGACAGAAAGCAUUCUUCUAUUCAUCUCCCCCUGACUCUCUCUUUCUUCUUCGGUACACACCUUCCAACCUUCUGUUCCUAACAUUCUUCUAUUCAUCUCCCCUGACUCUCUCUUUCUUCCUUGAUACACACCUCCCAACCUUCUGUUCCUGUGCUGCUUCGGCCUCCCUGGUUCUGAGCACCUGCAUGCAUAAGUACUCAGGAUGAGCAGGCCUCCAAAACUCUAUUCAGCUAAGUACAUGCACGGGUAGGGGGAGUUUUAGGGAGCGCGUAGAACACAUGACUGCUCUCUGCACUACUUCCUCUAUGUCGACUACUCCGAUCCUGUCCACUACCAGAAACGACGCCAAUGGAAGGGGAGGGAAUAACAACAACAAUGUCUCUUCAUCCAGAGCAUUCUCUGGUAUUGACAUGAAGGCAGCUGGAUGGGAGCCUGGAAGGUGUACGAAACUGUGAAAUGUGAGAUUAUGGGUGACGUAUCCAAUGGCUGCUCGCUUGGCUCGGUGUUAUGGGAGUCAAACCUACAAAUUAAUAAUAUGACACAAAGUGGAAAAAAUAUGCAAUUUUGUGUCACAUGUCUACAUAUAUAUCCUGCCUGGCUCUCUGUAGUUGUGAUGUCAUUUAUCUUCAUGAUGCAAUAAUGACUUAAGAAACGUAUUCUAUACAUUAUGAUGUUUUGACAUUCAAGUGGACAACCACAGUCAUGCUGACAGUUGCAUCCACGAGCAGUUCAAUAACCUUUUUGUUUGUUACACACAUUUUCUGAUGUUUCAGAGCCAACAAAACGACAGAGUAGCAUUGCUGUGUAUUGACCCUCCACCGCUAAGAGAAGCAAACAAAACCAUGAUAUAUGCCAACUUAACCAGUGUUUGGACCUGGGAGGCAUAGGCUAGACAUAAGUUAUUUGGAUGGUUAUCGAGUUUACUAAUUGAUAUCCCAUCUUUAGAAGGCUAUAAAUUCACAUCUCCUACAACUAUCUUAGCAUACCCUCUUUCGUAUAGACCAAAAGGAAAAGCCAACAAACAAGAACAUGAACAGGAGAAAUGUUACACUUUAUUUCCUCGUGCUACUUGUGCUUGCAGGAAGUACUGUGACUCAUGCAGAGAAUUGCUACGACUACGCUUUUGAAAAGCUGGUAUGCGUGAAGCCUCUGUGUUACCUGAGUUGUCUCACCUUCUUCUAGAAGCAUACCAAGAGCUACCGGUGCGAAGGAACCUUUCUACAUCGCUCGUGCGUCUGUUAUGCUUGCUAUUAGUAAACACUUUGCAAGGAAAGUACCACUAUAAACUGGGAAAUAAUGUUCACACAUGGGAUGCAUACUGAUCAUAGUGUGGUGCACCUUGUACUACAACUCGAUUAGUUUCUCAUGCAGAUCCAAUGGUUCGUAACGAGUGUAACAAGUUAUUUUCAUUCGGUGAGAUGGAAGAUAAAAAAACAGUGAAGUAGGUAUCCCUCGCCUAUAGCACUUAAUGGGGAGAAAUCUAUUUAUUGUGUGGA